UACAGAGGUCUCAAGCGUUGUUCGGAUUCAUUGGGCGUAAAGGGUGCGUAGGUGGCGCUGUAAGUCAGGUGUGAAAUUUCGGAGCUCAACUUCGAAACUGCAUUUGAUACUGCGGUGCUUGAGGACUGGAGAGGAGACUGGAAUUUACGGUGUAGCAGUGAAAUGCGUAGAGAUCGUAAGGAAGACCAGUGGCGAAGGCGGGUCUCUGGACAGUUCCUGACGCUGAGGCACGAAGGCCAGGGGAGCAAACGGG
rnacentral:rRNA from 1 species